rnacentral:rRNA from 1 species
AUUGAACGCUGGCGGCAGGCCUAACACAUGCAAGUCGAACGAGUGGCGGACGGGUGAGUAAUGUCUGGGAAACUGCCCGAUGGAAGGGGAUAACUACUGGAAACGGUAGCUAAUACCGCAUACCAUCGGAUGUGCCCAGCUGGGAGUAGCUCGUAGGUGGGGUAACGUCUCACCUAGGCGACGAUCCCUAGCUGGUCUGAGAGGAUGACCAGCCACACGGGAACGGAGACACGGUCCAGACUCCUACGGGAGUCAGCGGUGGAGAAGAUUGCACAAUGGGGGAGAGCCUGAUGCAGCACUGCCGCGUGUAUGAAGAAGGCCUUCGGGUUGUAAAGUACUUUCAGCGAGGAGGCGUUACUCGAAGAAGAAGCACCGGCUAACUCCGUGCCAGCAGCCGCGGUAAUUC